AUGUCAAUCACAGCUUUCAUAUCUUACUUUGGAAGGAAUAAUGAGAAGUUUUUUGGCUUUUGUUCCAUAGCCUAAUUGACUUUCUGUCCACACCUGUGUAGGAUCUGCGCUGGCAAGAAGCUUGAGUCAAGAGCCACAGUUGGAAUGUGAAGGCAGAUACUCCAAUAUGGAAGCUCCUUCCAUGCCACUUCAGGGGACGGUUUCUCCUCUCCUCCAACAACAUCAUAGGAACUGAAUGAAUCCUCUGCAUCUCACUUGAUUUCCUGUAUUCUAUGUAUUGUUGACCAUCAAGAACUCUGUCUUGCCUGUUUUUCUAUAGUAAAUCAUUUAUUACAUAUAUUAUAUAUUACACAUAUAAUGUCCUAAAAAUUUGGGGCUGGUGUUGUGGAAUAGUGUGAUAAGCCACUGUCUGC
rnacentral:lncRNA from 1 species